AUGAAUGUGUUGAAGGAACUUAGGGCGCAGGUCGAGGAUCUGCCUGCUGAUGUAAUGCCCGUGUUUGAUGAAGGAGGUUGCAGUGCUCCAGCUGACCGUGAGAUGAUUAGUUUUAAAGCCCCGCCACUAUCGAAAACAAAGGGCUCUAGAUCAGAAGAAGGAGAAAGACAUAUCAGCGCACGCGGGCCAAAGAAGUGCACAAGAAGAUGCAGCAAAUGUGGCCUUAUGGACGGUCACAACAAGGCUCAUGCACCAACAAACAACAAAGCAUCGCGACUGGUGGUACCAAAGGAGGCAGGGGGAGGACGGGCAGGGGGAGGGGAAGGGGAAGGGGAACUACAACUCGGCGCCGUUUAA
rnacentral:rRNA from 1 species